rnacentral:lncRNA from 1 species
UUUUAAAUUUGGAAUUUCAAAUUGAAGUUUGAAAUUAAAUUAGAAUUUAGAAUUUGAAAUAUGAAUUUGAAUUUAAAAUUUAAAAUUUAAAAUUAAAUACAAAAUUGAAAUUUAAAUUGGAAUUUAAAUUUGAAUUCAAAAUCAAAAUUUAAAUUUAAAAUUUAAAUCUUUAAACUAAAAAUCCUGCUUUGAAUUUAUAAAUUUAAUGGGUUAAUUACACCGUUGGUCCUCAACUUUGCACCGUUUUUUAAUUUGGUCCCCAGCUUUUUUUUUUUUUUUUCUAUCCACUGACAUAGCGUCUCCGUGGCGCUGACACGGCGCCUCCGUCGGCAUUUUUCGUCAAUUUUAACACCUUUCUAACUAACGGAACUUAAUUGUAAUGAAAUUAAAAAAUUAUAGAGUUGAUUAUUGUUGAUGCCAAAAUUGAAAUUAACAUGCCGACCAAAUCCACGUAUGAGUUAAUAAGAACACGUGGUACAUCAGGAGUCGGCAAUAAGGCACCUGAAGAUUUUAGGCGGGAACGAUUGAGGAGUGGGCGUAACUUCCACGAUCAUGGUUACAACCACUUCCCCGACUACUUUCAACCAACCAAUAAUGUGGGUUGAUAUUACUAUAAAUAGUAAUUUCGAAGCCUGCAAUAGGGGUCUUUCUCUCCCCUGAACGAGAAGACCACCGCAUUUUCAUAUCUUUCCUUUUCUGCAUUUAUUGCUUUCUAGGAGUAGUCUAAAUGUAAUUUUUUCUUUUUCGCAUUUACUGCUUUUCUAGGAGUAGUUUUUAAGUAAAACCCCGGAGUCUCCCUGCCCCACGGGCAUCACUCCGUUGUAAACUGAAUAUCCAUCCCUGUAGCCGACCAAAUCUCGUAUUGCUUUAGCCAUUCGGUUCUUCUUUCGGCUUAGUUUCCGGCCUGCUCUAUACAUUUGGCUCAUUCCAGCCGAACCGAAACAGAUAGUAGUGAUUUUCGAACUCGGCUGGCUCAAUCCCUCGUCAGCCGAAUCGCUUAAUCUGUCGAAGGGCGCAAACUUCGAGGGUCACUAUCCGCAGCCGUUCCUCACCCCGACGCGCUUCCCGA